rnacentral:tRNA from 1 species
CGUCGGGUAGCUCAGUAGUAGUGUAGAGCAGUCGCCCGGCAAGCGAAAGACCCGGGUUCGAUUCCCGGUCUAGCGA